rnacentral:lncRNA from 1 species
CCUACGAUAUUCUAAUACCGCCAGAAGAAGAAGUAAUAAAAGUAGAUAGGUUCAGCAUAAUAAAUAAAAAUCUACUUCACCGAUUAAGAUGUUUUUAUAGAAACGGUAAUUAGGUUAGAAUGCCUAGAAGAACCGACCCCCCUCAACCUGAGCCAGAACCGGAAACACCAGUCUUUAGGGGUACUCAAUCUCCUCCGAUCUGUCCCUUUGAGGAAACACAUCCAUUUGAGCAAACUCAUACAUCAUCUGUCGAAGAUAUUAGGAUUCGGAUGGACCGAUUCGAACAAAGACAAGAACGGCUUGAACAUCGACAAGAUCAAAUCCUAUCUGAGCUGCAGCAAAUUCAUCAACAAUUUGACUCUUUAUUUAGGCACUUUAAUUUUCCACCUCAUGAAUGAGCUUGUAUGAACACAAUCAUCUGUUGUUGUUGUAAACUCUUUAUAUUACUCACCAUGAUGGACUUUACCUUGAUCCUUGAUAUGGUUACCUGAUAUAUUUUUCUUGUGAGCAUAUGCAGAGUUACAAACUUCUCUCAUUGUUUAUCUCGGAUUUUACAUUGAAACUAAAUGUUUUGAAAACCUUG